rnacentral:rRNA from 1 species
AGAGUUUGAUCCUGGCUCAGGAUGAACGCUAGCGGCAGGCCUAAUACAUGCAAGUCGAGCGGCAAGUUGAGUAGUAAUACUUGACCUAGAGCGGCGCACGGGUGCGUAACGCGUAUGCAACCUACCUUUUACUGGGGGAUAGCCCGGAGAAAUCUGGAUUAAUACCCCAUGGUAUCUAUGAAUCGAAUGGUUUGUAGCUUAAAGAUUUAUCGGUAAAAGAUGGGCAUGCGUCUGAUUAGCUAGUUGGCGGGGUAACGGCCCACCAAGGCGACGAUCAGUAGGGGUUCUGAGAGGAAGGUCCCCCACACUGGCACUGAGAUACGGGCCAGACUCCUACGGGAGGCAGCAGUAGGGAAUAUUGGGCAAUGGUCGCAAGACUGACCCAGCCAUGCCGCGUGCAGGAAGACGGCCCUCUGGGUUGUAAACUGCUUUUAUCUGGGAAGAAAAAGUCCAUGCGUGGAAAAUUGCCGGUACCAGAUGAAUAAGCACCGGCUAACUCCGUGCCAGCAGCCGCGGUAAUACGGAGGGUGCAAGCGUUGUCCGGAUUUAUUGGGUUUAAAGGGUGCGUAGGCGGCUGAAUAAGUCAGCGGUGAAAGACUUCGGCUUAACCGGAGCAGUGCCGUUGAUACUGUUUAGCUUGAGUGUUGGAGGGGUACAUGGAAUUGGUGGUGUAGCGGUGAAAUGCAUAGAUACCAUCAGGAACACCGAU